CCUACGGGAGGCAGCAGUGAGGAAUAUUGGUCAAUGGACGAGAGUCUGAACCAGCCAAGUAGCGUGAAGGAUGACUGCCCUAUGGGUUGUAAACUCCUUUUAUAUGGGAAUAAAAUGUUCCACGUGUGGGAUUUUGUAUGUACCAUAUGAAUAAGGAUCGGCUAACUCCGGUCCAGCAGCCGCGGUAAUACGGAGGAUCCGAGCGUUAUCCGGAUUUAGUGGGAUUAAAGGGAGCGUAGGUGGAGUGGUAAGUCAGUUGUGAAAGUUAGCGGCUCAACCGUAAAAUUGCAGUUGAAACUGGCAGUCGUGAGUACAGUAGAGGUGGGCGGAAUUCGUGGUGUAGCGGUGAAAUGCUUAGAUAUCACGAAGAACUCCGAUAGCGAAGGCAGCUCACUGGACUGCAACUGACACUGAGGCGCGAAAGUGUGGGUAGCAAACAGGAUUAGAUACCCCUGUAGUC
rnacentral:rRNA from 1 species